rnacentral:tRNA from 1 species
AGUUUCAUAGUUUAAUAAAAAUUUUAAAUUGCAAGUUUAAAGAUAUAAUUUUUUAUUGAAGCUU